AUUCAUCUCGAGGCAGGCCGAGUCGGGGAUACCAAUGUCAAACACGGACGGUGGAGAGCUUUCCUUGCUGGCAUUGCACCCUUCAUUCUUUAUCCUUCUCACUCCGUUGAGUUCAGCCAACCGGUUGGCCUUAGUAGCUAGCGGAAGUGGAGAGCGAGAGUAGCAAUGGGGCAAUGCGGCGGGGGUGACCUGGGGCGAACGAGACGGUCGGACCCACCAUCGCCUGCCUACAUCAGGAAAAUUAAACCAAGCCAAGCGGUGCUUAACGCGCUGGGGCUACACGCGGCCGCGCCACCUCCUCCUCUUCUAUCCCACCCUCUCUAUCUCUAUCUCUUUCCUUUAGCUAUACAUCGAAACCUCCCCUUUCGACCCGAGAACCUUCAACUCUGUGGCUAAGGCAGGGGCAACGCCAACAGUGGCAGUAGCAGCAGUAGUGGUAGCAGGAGUAGAAGCACCAGCAACAACAUUCAGUAGUAGUAACAGCACCAACCAACAGGAGUCAGCAAUGACACCACCGACUGUGGCUAACAGAAGCAGCAAAAUCACAGGACCGCGAAAUGGUGUACUCAAAUGCACCGAAAUACGCAUCGGUGCAAAUACCCUGCUUGUGCGAAUUGCGGCUAAUCUAACAGCGACACCGCCAAUUGUAACGCAAUAUAAAAUGGCGCUGAUGGUGGUAGUGGUGGCAGUGGUAGAGAGUUGGUCGUGGUAGUAGUGGUUGCCAAUGAAUGUGUAGACCAACGCCCGGACGCGUGGUCAAACGCGCUGCAGCGAUCAUCGGAUCAGCUUAAUCAAAUAAAGAGAACGUGGGCUCUGCACAAUAUCAAAUGGAUCCCGAACUUGCGGUACUACAAAUCGAAUACCAAGACGAUUCACGAUUGGUCCUGCAGAAAGCUUAGUCAGCGGAAUAAAGUGAUCAUGAUUUAUGAUUUUUCCAGAUGAAAACUUUUGUCAUUUAAAAAAUAUAUAAAAACAAAUAAAAUAUUCCUAUUCGA